rnacentral:rRNA from 1 species
GCUACGGCCAUGCUACCCUGAACAAGCCCAAUCCCGUCUGAUCUCAGAAGCUCAGCAGGGUCGAGCCUGGUUAGUACUUGGAUAGGAAACCACCUAGGAAGAUCAGGUGCUGUCAGCA